CUGAUUUCGAAGGUUGUCGUUCUUUCAGCCUCAAGUGCAGGAGAUUCCAGAAUAUUAAAAAAGUGCCUCGAUUUUUAAAUCGCGGCUUUCAAACGAGGGUAUCGCGGGGGCGCCCAUCACACGUUGUGCAAAGGAGAAGAAAUCGAAAUCUCUUUCUGUGCUGUGGAGGAGAUUCUCAAAUGCUUGCAUCCUGUUUCUUUCGCGUUAUGAGGCGAGUGCGUGUAUGGUUCUGGUUUCCAUUUCCCUGAUUCUUGUUGAAGAACCGGGGAUUUAAGAUGAUAGAAUCAGUUACCUCUGACAGAGGCAGCUUUGUUACUUACCGAUCUUGAAGACAUUCCUAUGUACAAUAGUAGCGCUGUGAUAACUUUUACUAAAAACAGCAAGUGCCAGUCUAUUAGCUGUUCUUGUCUUUGGCACUUCUUAAAUUCCACAUUUUUACAGCAUAUCUAAAUGACUUAUUUAUGUUCUUUUUUUUGCUGGCAAACACAGACGUGGAUUGUUGCAUAUUUAUUCCGUUCCGUCUCGGACUUCAGUUAUGGCAAUGAGCUAAUAUCUCAAGCAAUACCUGGAAGGUGACGUUCCAAAUUCGCAUCUCUUUGGUUUGUGUUAUGAAUAGGAAAUGCGAUCCCUUCCAAAUCGUACACUAACGUAGAGACACAGCGACAGAGAAGGAAGAAAAGAGGUACUCUUCAAGGCGUGUCUGGACACUGACUGAACCUCCCCCGUCCGUCAAGACAUUUCUAAUGUUUCAGGACAGAGAUUCAGCCUUGGUCUUACCAACGACCUGCGUUUAAGUUUGAACUAUGCACGCGUGCUUCUCAAGAUCUCACAACGAAGGAAGUCACAUUUGGACCUCUGCUUAUUGGUAAAGAUUAAAGAGUACAAUGGACCACCCAGUUCUGGACAUCAAACAAACCAACAGGCCAUUAAAGCUGCCCUUCGGUCAUCAAGCUAAAGGAAAAACUGAGCCCAGUUGUCACGACUCGUACCUCCUCCCGCUCCUCAGCUCCAGGUACGCUGUGGUGGAUCUGUCCGUGGAGGCCAGGGCUCGCCCUUGAAUGGACUGGGCGUAGCUGAUGUCCGCA